UCACUUUAAUGAAAAUGCUAAAACUUUAUUUUAAUCUCUAUAUGGAACAGAAAAAUAUCAGGUAGUCCUCUCUACCUUCCUCCUCUCUUAGUAGAGAAUAAUCUUUUGCAACAAUGCUCUCACUAUGAAGGCCUAAAUAUGGCAAGAUGUAGAAAAUGUUGCAUGAUAAGUAACUAAUCUAAACACUAAGUUAUGUGAUUACCUCACAUAAACCAUAAAAUAAAACUAAAACAUGACAUAGCUGUCUAAAACUAUUGAUCAUCAUGAUAAUUUCAAGAAACCUUUUGAAUCUUAAGAUCAGAGACUAAUAAUCAAAAGAAUAUGCUCA
rnacentral:lncRNA from 1 species